UCGGAGGCCCCGAGCUCUGCAGGAGCGAAUCCUUUACCCUGAGUCCUACAGGCUGUAAAAUGCAGAUUGGGACCCCGUUGCUCGUCAUCAAAAAGUCAAGAACUGAUUAAAGAAGACAAUUUAUGUGACGCAAACAGACUAACACUUCCUGACGAGAACUGAAAAAUGAGGCAAAGGCAGGAAGCUUUUAUAGGGUAAAGAAUGAAGACUGAGGAAAAGGAAAAGUAGAAAAUACCUGACUGGCAGGGGCCAACACAGCCAACCUUGUUUGGAGUGAAAAGAAACAAGGAAAUAAGUAUAGAACCCAGAGUUGGCUUGGCGUUGGCAGAUUUUUCUAACUAAAUAUACUGUUUCUAGUCGAGCGGAGCCCUUCCAGGAAGUCGUAAGUUCAGUUUGCUGACGUCACACCUCCUGCAGGAGCCGCUCCAGCUUGGGCCUGCAAAUUAUUUCAACACUGGUGAGUACCCUUUUUUUAAGAAAAAGUUUCUCUAGGGCCCGUGCACUCCACACGGAGUCAUGCUGGUGUCUCCUAGGAUGGAUGUGACACAGUGCUUCUGCAAUUCCAGUCAGGGUUUUGCCGCAGAUCCAGGCAGAUUUGCUAUGGGGACAUGGGACCAGACCAAGGGUACAAGACUCUAAAAACUAAAAAAGAAACAAGAAACUGAAUUUUCACAGAAAUGGAUUUUCCAAAGUCAUAUUCUCUUAGCUAUGCUCUUUAAUUUUGUUCACUACCUAUAGCAGUUGUUUUAUUAAAUGACAUUAAAACCUUAACUUGAU
rnacentral:lncRNA from 1 species